rnacentral:lncRNA from 1 species
UCUCAUUUUUCUUUGCACAAAAGGCACCGCAGACUAGCUUGACCAAAAUAAAUUGUCUGGCAUAUGCCAACCAUAGUGUACAUAAUUUGGUAGAAAUAAAAUUUUGCGAUAAAAAAUAGUUCACAGGGCAUUGCUUUGACAGUAUAUGGAGAUUAUUUUCGGCAAAAUUUCCUCACAUGUCCCUGAAACAAAAUGAUCAAAAUACACCCGGUAACAUAAAUAUCUCAACGACAAGAGUACAAUCUGAUAACACUUCAAGUUUGAGUAUCACCGAUUCCUCUUUAGCUCCAGCGUCAAAUCAGUGGCAUCCUAACAAAACUGGGACAAGUAAAGGAACUGAAAGGAGCCAAAUCUUUGUAAUGUGCCUUCCUCCUGUGUAUAUGAAUUGAAAAGGCAUCUCAUUUUUCACACAUGAUGCACAAUUGCUGAAAGGACUUUCAGAGAAAUAAACAGCUUGCUUGUUCUACAAUCUCUUUCACAAGCAGCAAGAAAUAAGUAGCACAUGAGAACAUGAAAGGACAAUGAUGUUUCUAUCUCACAAUCUAUACUGCAAUAAAAAAAGAAGACACGUGUAUUAAUGCAUAUCCACUGUUGUCCAAAAUAUGGCCAUCUUAAACUGGCAGGAAAAACACCAUUAGACCAAUAAUAAACAAGAGCACGGAGGAUUGCUAAUCUGCUCAUGGAAUUCAUUCUCAUACAAGAGGUGUCAGAAGUAAGUAAUGCUCAUCACGGCCACCACAACCUUACCAACAACACUAUAAAAACUAAGGAAAUCCAAGCAAAUAAUAAAAGUACUAUAUUGGUAAAUGAAGCAUUCAAGAAAUCCAAUUAUCUUGAAACAAACAGAGAAUCUUGAUAGGACUAACAGGCAUACAUACAGGAAUUAAGCAGCAACAUAUAUUCUGAAGUUCAUUCUGAAGUCACAAGUCCCCAAAGAGUAAAAGGGAACAAACAAACAAAAAUGUUCUGGAAAUUGCAAAAGAGCCUAAAGGAAUGGGUUAGUUUUGGUUCCAAUUUGAAAACCCAAAAUUUAUCAACACAUUAAUUAUAAUUUGUUUGUGCCAAUACUUAUUUCGGACAGCCACACACAUCUUUCUUCAUCCAAUUUUUUCCCAGCGCAUCACUGAACAUCCGAAGGAAACUGACCAGCUCAACUUCAGAAAAAAAAAGGAUAAACAUAUCAAAUAUGUAAUACAGUUGCAGUGCAACUAAACCUAUCCCUGUCACAACCAAACACAACCAAAUUUCUGCAGGAGGCGGACACAGACGAUUACUAACCAGAAUUCUAGCAGUGCACUAACUUGCAAAUGUUAAUAGCUAUGAAAACUGAAAUAUGCAUUUCUAUCUGUAAGCUGUCAAAUAUCAUCAGAAGAUAGCAGACACUGUCAACUACAUCAUACAGGUUGACCGUAGCUUAUUUAACACUUGUCCUGGCUGCAAAACUCUGAUUUUAACUAAUAAAAAAUGCACAAAACUACGAGGAAUAACUACUAGUAUUCAUUUCAUAUACCUGAGGCUUUAAAUAUCAUUGAAAAAUCAAUGACUUAACGUACAUCUCGUCCUCUCUAUUCUUUGCUAGCAAUCGUGUUCAAACGCAGUAUCUGCUGAUACCUUGCUUGAAAUAGCACCUGACAAGCCACAGAGCAGGAUUUAUCUUAUGGGAUUUCAUUCCGUGGUUGCAAGACCAACGGAUUUCAUCAUUUCUAUAACAAGAUGUCCUGUCCUUUCAUUUUCUUCUUGUGUAAUUGUUCAACCAGUUCUCUCUUUGACCUCACGUGAUAUAUCAGUCCUCAUGCCUGAUAGCAACUGUUCUGGGAAAUUAUCUCUUGAUUCCGCAUCUUCAUGAAAACCCAACGGCCUACAUCGUGUCAAGAUAAUGGCAUAGGUAGUUACAGAACCUACAAAAAUAAACUGAAAAUUUUACAGUGUGCAGAACAAAGAGUAACACCAAAGCCAUAUAUACAAUGAGAAAACGCUAUGAAAAUUUGCAACUAAUAAACAAAAUUAUGAAUGAAUACAAACCAUACAUAAAACCCACAACAAUUGAAUAAAAGCAGUCAGCAACAG